UACGUAGGGUGCAAGCGUUUAAUCGGAAUUACUGGGCGUAAAGCGUGCGCAGGCGGUUAUGUAAGACAGAUGUGAAGUGCCCGGGCUUAACCUGGGAACUGCAUUUGUGACUGCAUGGCUAGAGUUUGGCAGAGGGGGGUAGAAUUCCACGUGUAGCAGUGAAAUGCGUAGAUAUGUGGAGGAACACCGAUGGCGAAGGCAGCCCCCUGGGUCAAGACUGACGCUCAUGCACGAAAGGCGUGGGAGCAAACAGG
rnacentral:rRNA from 1 species